rnacentral:rRNA from 1 species
CCGGCGACCGGCGCACGGGUGAGUAACACGUAUGCAACCUGCCCUCUUCAGGGGGACAACCUUCCGAAAGGGAGGCUAAUCCCGCGUAUAUCGGUUUCGGGCAUCCGAGAUCGAGGAAAGAUUCAUCGGAAGAGGAUGGGCAUGCGGCGCAUUAGCUAGACGGCGGGGUAACGGCCCACCGUGGCGACGAUGCGUAGGGGUUCUGAGAGGAAGGCCCCCCACACUGGUACUGAGACACGGACCAGACUCCUACGGAAGGCAGCAG